rnacentral:tRNA from 1 species
GGAGAGGUGUCUGAGCGGUCGAAAGAGCACGCCUGGAAAGUGUGUAUACGGCAACGUAUCGAGGGUUCGAAUCCCUCCCUCUCCGCCA